rnacentral:lncRNA from 1 species
AUGGGGCUCAUUACCCAUUCUAUGAGCCGACUUGGCCGAUCUCAUCCUCCCAAUCCCAAAGCCCAGCUGCCCUCUAGAAAAGUCUCUAAAGUGAGACAACGCCAGGCCAAGGACGAUCGUCUCAAGAUGACAGCCUGGCUGCCCCUGGUCCCAGCUCGUGCUCUCUUUGUCCUCGCAGUCCCUUUAGCACGGGCCCAGCGUUCCGCAGGCGUUACCUUGGUAGCCAUCAAAGGACGCGGACCUGGACGCGGACUGGGACGCGGACACAGACGAGGCGGUCGGCUGACCGACUUAGCAGUCUCAGCAGUGCUUCUGGCACGCGCCCAGCGUUCGCCAGGCGUUACCUCGGUAGCCAAGCAAAGGACGCGGACUGGGACGCGGACGCGGACUGGGCGGUCUCAGCAGAAUUCCCUUGGAAGAUGUCUCGGCGCAGUGAGCGCCUGCGCCUCCGGUACCACCUACACGUUGAUGGAGAUGGCGCGGCAGCAGCACCAGCAGCAGUGGCUGCAGUUCCCCUGUGGUCGGCCAGCACAUUCAAUGCAAUGA